rnacentral:misc_RNA from 1 species
GCUCGACUUUUUUUUUUGUUUGUAGUAAAUGAAAAGGGGGCCAGCCCUACAGCUUGGAUAAGCAUUUUUUGUUGCGUGAAAAAUGGAGUUUUUAUGCAGACAUGUGCUUGUUUAGUUACAGAAGCAAAAUCGUUCGGCUUGGAUAAGUACCCUGAACAGCUCGAUUAAUCAUACUGACGUGCUACCUAAACGCUGCUCAUACACUAUAACCAUCUUCUCAAGCAAGGCGUCUAUCUGAUAGCUGUAACGAGAGCAGCAGUGACCAGUCAUCAGUGUGGGGGGGGCUGAUUGUUUAUGCGCUGAUGGCACAACGGAUUACGAAUAAAGUAAUGCAUGAUUAAACUUUGAUCGGGGCAGUAGACUUGGUCUUUUAUAUAGCUGUCGGGGUGGCAUGUUUUGUACGCUUGCCCCAAGGUUUGUGUUCUUGAGCUGUCCUGCGUCCCCCACUCCACCUCGCCCUUGGGCUUCCCGUGAACCAAACCAUUCGGAGAGAAAGAAAAUGGUAGGGGAGAAGGUAGUAGGAGGCAACAGAGCAUCCUAUGCCCCCUCCUACGACCAAGAAACUAACAAACCGGCCAUGCCGCCAGAUGUGACCAAACCAUUGUCUGCUUCCAAAGUUCGGCAAAACAACAAGGUUCCAAUUAAUGGCCUACUCCUAAAUUGGUUUCUCAUACAGAACGCGAAAAACACAGACAUUUUCUUUUACUGUAUGCUUAAUAAUAAUAGGUCUAAGGUCAAUACUGAUU